rnacentral:rRNA from 1 species
GUACGGCGAGUGAGCGGGAAGAGCUCAAAUUUGAAAUCUGGUAGCCUUCGGCUGCCCGAGUUGUAAUCUAGAGAAGUGUUUUCCGUGCCGGCCCAUGUACAAGUCCCUUGGAACAGGGCGUCAUAGAGGGUGAGAAUCCCGUCCUUGACAUGGACCCCCGGUGCUUUGUGAUACACUUUCAACGAGUCGAGUUGUUUGGGAAUGCAGCUCAAAAUGGGUGGUGAAUUCCAUCUAAAGCUAAAUAUUGGCGAGAGACCGAUAGCGAACAAGUACCGUGAGGGAAAGAUGAAAAGCACUUUGGAAAGAGAGUUAAACAGUACGUGAAAUUGUUGAAAGGGAAACGAUUGAAGUCAGUCAUGCUCUUUGGAUUCAGCCGUUCUGCGGUGUAUUUCCAUUGAGUGGGGUCAACAUCAGUUUUGACCGCUGGAUAAAGGCACUAGGAAGGUAGCACUCUCGGGUGAACUUAUAGCCUAGCGUCAUAUACAGUGGUUGGGACUGAGGAACGCAGCAUGCCUUUAUGGCCGGGAUUCGUCCACGUACAUGCUUAGGAUGUUGACAUAAUGGCUUUAAACGACCCGU